GACACUGGGUCCCCUAGGAGCCUCCCCAGGCUUAAUGAUUGUCCAGAAGGUGGCUAUAAAGGGAGCUUGGGAGGCAGGGUGGAGGAGGGAGCAGAAAAAACCCAACUCAGCAGAUCUGGAAACUGUGAGAGCGGCAAGCAGGAGCUGUGGUCAGAGGCUGUGCGUCUUGGCUGGUAGGGCCUGCUCUUUUCUACCAUGGCAGCCCAGGGCUAUGGCUAUUAUCGCACUGUGAUCUUCUCAGCCAUGUUUGGGGGCUACAGCCUGUAUUACUUCAAUCGCAAGACCUUCUCCUUUGUCAUGCCAUCAUUGGUGGAAGAGAUCCCUUUGGACAAGGAUGAUUUGGUGGUUUGAGCCAUCUCAGUUUGGCACUUGGUGGGCCAUCCUAUCAACCAGCAUGAACCUGGCUGGAGGGCUGGGCCCUAUCCUGGCAACCAUCCUCGCCCAGAGCUACAGCUGGCGCAGCACGCUGGCCCUGUCUGGGGCACUGUGUGUGGUUGUCUCCUUCCUCUGUCUCCUGCUCAUCCACAAUGAACCUGCUGAUGUUGGACUCCGCAACCUGGACCCCAUGCCCUCUAAGGGCAAGAAGGGCUCCUUGAAGGAGGAGAGCACCCUACAGGAGCUGCUGCUGUCCCCUUACCUGUGGGUGCUCUCCACUGGUUACCUUGUGGUGUUUGGAGUAAAGACCUGCUGUACUGACUGGGGCCAGUUCUUCCUUAUCCAGGAGAAAGG
rnacentral:sRNA from 1 species